AGAUAUAUUUAUAUAUUUAACCCUUCCCAGACUGAGGGGCAGAAGCAGUUGCUUCUCUAAGGGCAUUGCUGAUGUCUUGACCCUUUAGCAUUAUAUUAAUGUACAACUGUAUGUUCCAGAUGUAAGGAUUAUGAUUAUUGAUUAAUUAAUAUUCUGUCGGGAUCUGGGUUGUGUUUGUGUCUUUGUGCUUGCAACUUGUGUCUCAGAGUUUCCAGACUGUGCUGAAGUUCUCAGGUGUGCUGGGGGACAGGUGCGACUUAUCCUGCUGAUUACUUGGUGGAGUAUUUAAGCAGGAGGCUGCCAGUACUUUGACGCCAGAGUGUUUGCCUUCUGUGGUAACAAGCUCAGCCAAUGCAAAGUCUAUGCUUCAUCUCUUGUUUUUGGAUUAACUUUGUUCAUGUGUUUUUGCAGACCAAGUACCAGGACCUUUUGGGUUUAUGUCUCUGAACCACAGACUCUGUGAGCUAAGUGUUUCCUGGUUAAACUUCGUUUUGUGGAUUUCGUUCUGUACUUCGUUUUCAUCUGGAUCUUCGACCAAGCUGGCAGUUUCCUGCAACCUUCAUCUCCUGGACCAAGAACUAAGCGUAACCUGUCCACCCUCCAGCGCAAGUAUCAGCACAAGGAAACAACCUCACCUUUUCACCAACCACAAUUAAGUCUCAACCAAGUGUCUCCUGGAUUGAGUACGCCCUAAAUUCCCACGUUUCCUCGGCAACUGGUCGUUCCCCUUUUGAAGUGUCUCUCGGCUAUCAACCACCUUUGUUUGCUGCCGACGAAAGGGAUAUCAGGGUUUCAUUGGUUCAUCAACACAUUCAACGCUGUAAAUCCAUCUGGACUACCACUAUCCAGACCCUACAUCGCACUGCUGACCAGAACAAACGCUUCGCUGACUGAAGACGCCGACCGGCACCGCAAUACCAGCCGGAGCAAAAGGUAUGGUUGUCAGCAUGGGACAUACCACUAAAAUCUAUGUCUAAGAAACUCUCGCCUUGUUUCAUUUGCCCCUACGAGAUUGAGUCUGUGAUUGGUCCAUCUGCUGUUUGCCUUCGUCUACCUGCUACUCUUCGUGUUCAUCCUACAUUCCAUGUGUCGCAACUCAAGCCGGUGGUCUCUAGUGACUCGUGCCCUCCGGCCAAACCCCCACCAUCCACCCUGGACCGUCAAGGGCACCCAGUGAAUGCGGUCCGACGAAUCGUGGACUCCCAUCGACGGGGCCGUGGGUGGCAGUACCUCGUCGACUGGGAGGGUUACGGUCCUGAAGAUCAUGUCCCGAUCAUGUAUUUGUGACCCUUCAUUGAUUGACGAUUACCGUGCCUCUUUACCUUCCACUUCUUCUGGGCUGCCGUUGAGGGGGGGAUGAUGUCGGGAUGUGGGUUGUGUUUGUGUGUUUUGUGCUUGCAACUUGUGUCUCAGUGUUUCCAGACUGUGCUGAAGUUCUCAGGUGUACUGGGUGACAGGUGCGACUUAUCCUGCUGAUUGCUUGGUGGAGUAUUUAAGCAGGAGGCUGCCAGUACUUCGACACCAGAGUGUUUGCCUUCUGUGACCAAGUACCAGGACCUUUUGGGUUUAUGUCUCUGAACCACAGACUCUGUGAGCUAAGUGUUUCCUGGUUUUGUGGAUUUCGUUCUGCACUUCGUUUUCGUCUGAAUCUUCGACCAAGCUGGCAGUUUCCUGCAACCUUCAUCUCCUGGACCAAGAACUAAGCGUAACCUGUCCAGCCUCCAGCGCAAGUAUCAGCACAAGGAAACAACCUCACCUUUUCACCAAGCUAAGUCUCAACCAAGUGAUCAACUGAGUAGACUGGACUUCAACAACCCAAACCCUGAAUCCCUCUAUCCCUGGUGACCUGACCACAUCCAUUCAUUGGAGUUUCGCCUGUUUACGUUCCCUAUUCCUUUUGUUCCCAAAUAAACAACCUUUAUUACUUUUCA